rnacentral:misc_RNA from 1 species
GAAAUGCGAUAAGUAAUGCGAAUUGCAGAAUUCAGUGAAUCAUCGAAUCUUUGAACGCACAUUGCGCCCGCUAGUAUUCUGGCGGGCAUGCCUGUCUGAGCGUCAUUUCAACCCUCAUUCCCGGCUUCGUGUCGGGGAUGGUGUUGGGGAUCGGCCUCCCGGUUGCGGGCGGCCGGCCCCGAAAUAGAGUGGCGACCACGCCGUAGCCUCCUCUGCGUAGUAGUGAAAACCUCGCAGGCGGAGAGCGGUGCGGCCUGCCGUAAAACCCCCAACUCUUCUAAGGUUGACCUCAGAUCUGGUAGGAAUACCCGCUGAACUUAAGC